AGAUGUGAAAGCCCGGGGCUCAACCUCGGAAUAGCAUUUGAAACUGGCAGACUAGAGUACUGUAGAGGGGGGUAGAAUUUCAGGUGUAGCGGUGAAAUGCGUAGAGAUCUGAAGGAAUACCGGUGGCGAAGGCGGCUGGACAGAUACUGACACUCAGAUGCGAAAGCGUGGGGAGCAAAACAGGAUUAGAUACCCUGGUAGUCCACGCCGUAAACGAUGUCUACUUGGAGGUUGUGGCCUUGAGCCGUGGCUUUCGGAGCU
rnacentral:rRNA from 1 species